UGGGGAAUAUUGGACAAUGGGCGCAAGCCUGAUCCAGCCAUGCCGCGUGAAUGAUGAAGGCCUUCGGGUUGUAAAGUUCUUUUAGCGGGGAAAAUAAUGAUGGUACCCGCAGAAAAAGCCCCGGCUAACUUCGUGCCAGCAGCCGCGGUAAUACGAAGGGGGCUAGCGUUGUUCGGAAUUACUGGGCGUAAAGCGUUUGUAGGCGGUUAUACAAGUCAGUGGUGAAAGCCCAGGGCUUAACCCUGGAAUUGCCAUUGAAACUGUAUAGCUAGAGAGUGUUAGAGGUUAGUGGAAUUCCUAGUGUAGGAGUGAAAUCCGUAGAGAUUAGGAGGAAUAUCGAUGGCGAAGGCAGCUAACUGGGACAUUUCUGACGCUGAGAAACGAAAGCGUGGGUAGCAAACAG
rnacentral:rRNA from 1 species